rnacentral:rRNA from 1 species
GCUAAAAAUCUAGCUCCACUUCUACUCAUGCACUAAUCCACCCUAAACACCUAAAUUAAAUCAUUUUAACAUUUUAGUAAAGGAGAUUGAAAAAUUUUAUGAAGCAACAAACCUAGUACCGCAAGGGAAAGAUGAAAUAUUAAUGAAAACCUCUAAGCAAAACAUAGUAGAGAUUAACUCUCGUACCUUUUGCAUCAUGGUUCAACUAGUCUUAUCAAGCAAAAAGCAUUACAGUUUGACCCCCCGAAACUAAGUGAGCUACUUCAAGGCAGUUUUACGAACUAACCCGUCUCUGUAGCAAAAGAGUGGGAAGACCUUCAAGUAGAGGUGAUAUACUUAUCGAACUUAGUGAUAGCUGGUUACUCAAGAAAAGAAUUUUAGUCCAACCUAAAGUCUUAUUAUUACCCCUAAAAACACCCUUGACUUUAGAGCAACUCAAAUAAGGUACAGCCUAUUUGAUAAAGGAUACAACCUCGCCCGACGGGUAAAAUAACCGCUUCAACUACCAAGUAGGCCUAAAAGCAGCCAUCUUUAUAAAAGCGUCAAAGCUUAGUUUUUACUAGCCUUCUAAUACCUUAACUCAAUUUUAACCCUCUAUCAGUAUUGAGUAAUUUUAUACCCCUAUAAAAGAUUUUAUGUUGAAACUAGUAACAAGAAGAGUAAACUUCUCUUAGAUGUAAGCAUAAGUCAGAAUGGACCAACCACUGACAAUUAACGCCUAUGAACAUGUAUUAGCAACUUCACAAGAAAAACCUAAUUGCCCCUACGUUAACCUGACACAAGAACAUCACAAGAAAGAUUAAAAGAAAGAGAAGGAACUCGGCAAACAUUAACCCCGCCUGUUUAUCAAAAACAUCGCCUCUUGCCCCAAACAUAAGAGGUCCAGCCUGCCCAGUGACUAUUGUUCAACGGCCGCGGUAUCCUAACCGUGCGAAGGUAGCGUAAUCACUUGUUCUUUAAAUGAGGACUAGUAUGAAUGGCAUCACGAGGGUUAUACUGUCUCCUCUCUCUAAUCAGUGAAACUAAUCUCCCCGUGAAGAAGCGGGGAUAAAAUUAUAAGACGAGAAGACCCUAUGGAGCUUUAAGUAAAUCUUCAAACGCUUGUACACCCUAACAGUCAUAGACCCUUAAAAUUAACUUUAGCGCCAUGAAGAUGAACUUUAGGUUGGGGUGACCACGGAGUACAAAAAAACCUCUACGCUGAACAAGCCUCAAAGCCUUGAGUAAAGGACCACAACCCGACACACUAAUAAACUAACACCCAUUGACCCAAUAAUCCUUUGAUCAACGAACCAAGUUACCCUAGGGAUAACAGCGCAAUCUACUUCAAGAGUUCCUAUCGACAAGUAGGUUUACGACCUCGAUGUUGGAUCAGGGUAUCCCAGUGGUGCAGCCGCUACUAACGGUUCGUUUGUUCAACGAUUAAAACCCU